rnacentral:lncRNA from 1 species
CUCGAGAGUCCGGGACAAGGUAGACGCAGGAUAUUGACCUUUUUAUUUUUAACUGCAUUUUCAGUUUGGAGGUUGUAAAAUAGGUAUAACAUUUAAGAAAAAAAAUUGAAAGAUAUCUAUUGGAUGCUGAUGAUUAUGAAACAAAGUAGCAAAGAUAAGAAGCCAUUUGCUCAUUCUGCUCCUUUGCCAGCAAUAUUUCACAAAGCCCCUGACUCAUUGACUGUGAGCAGCCUUGUGGAAGAAUGCCUUGAAGACCAUAAGCAGGAUAGGGAAUAGGUUUGCACAUCUCUUGCCUGAAUCACUGAAUUUUU